rnacentral:rRNA from 1 species
CCCUUAGAUGUUCUGGGCCGCACGCGCGCUACACUGAUGCAUUCAACGAGUCUAAAACCUGCUCUGAUAGGGGUGGGUAAUCUUUUGAAUGUGCAUCGUGAUUGGGAUAGAUGAUUGCAAUUUUUCAUCUUCAACGAGGAAUGCCUAGUAAACGCAAGUCAUCAGCUUGCAUUGAUUACGUCCCUGCCCUUUGUACACACCGCCCGUCGCUCCUACCGAUUGAAUGAUCCGAUGAAUAUCAUGGAUUGAGGAUGUAAGCAGGUUCGCCUGUCUUCAUCUUCGAGAAGUGAAGUAAAUCUUAUCAUUUAGAGGAAGGAGAAGCCGUAACA